rnacentral:rRNA from 1 species
CUGAGUGGUUCCUGCUAAAGGAACCUUUUGUUAGUCGUAGAACCACUGAUGAAUAAGGGGUGGGCAAGUUCUGGUGUCGGCCGCCGCGGUAAAACCAGCACCUCAAGUGGUCAGGAUGAUUAUUGGGCCUAAAGCAUCCGUAGCCUGUUCUGUAAGUUUUCGGUUAAAUCCAUAAGCUCAACUUAUGGGCUGCCGAAAAUACUGCAGGGCUAGGGAGUGGGAGAGGUAGACGGUACUCGGUAGGAAGGGGUAAAAUCCUUUGAUCUAUUGAUGACCACCUGUGGCGAAGGCGGUCUACCAGAACACGUUCGACGGUGAGGGAUGAAAGCUGGGGGAGCAAACCGGAUUAGAUACCCGGGUAGUCCCAGCUGUAAACGAUGCAAACUCGAUGAUGCGUUGGCUUGUUGCUAGCGCAGUGUCGCAGGGAAGCCGUUAAGUUUGCCGCCUGGGAAGUACGUACGCAAGUAUGAAACUUAA